UUCAUAGACCCAUCGUGAUGUCCAGUAUGGAUUUAUGGUGGUCAGUAGCGGGCGCGAAAGACCGUGACACGUCAAACAAGGACUGAAAUUGGUUCUGAGUGAGAGACGCUGACUCCGGCCGCAAAUUGGAACUAAUGUCACACCAACACAGCCGUGCAAUGGAAAAAAAAGGCCUGGUGGAGGCUACGCCCGUACGUGGUGUGAGGUGUGACCGGGCGGCUGUCCGGUGCAGCCCGGGGAUUACAGCCUGCCAUCCCGCCCGUCUCCCCGCCGCGCUGCGCCGCCUCCCUACCAGAACGCACACAUCUGUCCCCAGCACGCCCGCCUGGGAGACGUAAAUCCCGCCUGAGCUCUUCAUUUCCACGCUUCCUGAGGCACCGGAGCCGCGUGGAUUCCGGAUUACAGCCGCCUGGAUUCCGGAUUACAGCCGUGUGCAUUCCGGAUUACAUCCCUGUGGAUUCCGGAUUACAGACUCCGGAGUGAUGAUGACGUUGACAACCGGAAACAUUAACUGUGUCAAAUUUACACCUGUUUUUCGCUAUAUUGAUGUUAAAUGUUAGGUAGCUAUAGAUAGCAUAUACAAAAUUGUAUGUAUAUCAUCAGAAUUGCAUACGUUCUCUACAAUUGGGUUACACAAUACAUGCUAGUAUACAAUGAACUUCAA